CGGGAGGCAGCAGUGGGGAAUUUUGGACAAUGGGCGCAAGCCUGAUCCAGCAAUGCCGCGUGAGUGAAGAAGGCCUUCGGGUUGUAAAGCUCUUUUGUCAGGGAAGAAACGGUGGGGGCUAAUAUCCCUUGCUAAUGACGGUACCUGAAGAAUAAGCACCGGCUAACUACGUGCCAGCAGCCGCGGUAAUACGUAGGGUGCAAGCGUUAAUCGGAAUUACUGGGCGUAAAGCGUGCGCAGGCGGUUUUGUAAGACU
rnacentral:rRNA from 1 species